UACGUAGGCAGCGAGCGUUUGUUCGGAGUUACUGGGCGUAAAGGGUGUGUAGGCGGUUGUUUAAGUUUGGUGUGAAAUCUCCCGGCUCAACUGGGAGGGUGCGCCGAAUACUGAAUGACUAGAGUGCGGGAGAGGAAAGUGGAAUUCCUGGUGUAGCGGUGAAAUGCGUAGAUAUCAGGAGGAACACCGGUGGUGUAGACGGCUUCUGGACGUAACUGACGACUGAGACACGAAGACGUGGGUAGCAAACAGGA
rnacentral:rRNA from 1 species